rnacentral:rRNA from 1 species
CCUACGGGAGGCAGCAGUGAGGAAUAUUGGUCAAUGGGCGCGAGCCUGAACCAGCCAAGUAGCGUGAAGGAUGACUGCCCUACGGGUUGUAAACUUCUUUUAUAGAGGAAUAACGUGAUGCACGUGUGCCUUUUUGUAUGUACUUUAUGAAUAAGGAUCGGCUAACUCCGUGCCAGCAGCCGCGGUAAUACGGAGGAUCCGAGCGUUAUCCGGAUUUCUUGGGUUUAAAGGGAGCGUAGAUGGGUUGUUAAGUCAGUGGUGAAAGUUUGGGGCUCAACCGUAAACUUGCAGUUGAUACUGGCAGUCUUGAGUACAGUUGAGGUAGGCGGAAUUCGUGGUGUAGCGGUGAAAUGCGUAGAUAUCACGAAGAACUCCGAUUGCGAAGGCAGCUUACUAAACUGUAACUGACAUUGAUGCUCGAAAGCGUGGGGAUCAAACAGGAUUAGAUACCCGAGUAGUC